GCGGUGCACAGGGUGCGGGGGGCGUGGCGCCUCUCGUGCGAACGAAUGUCAUAACGACUCUCGGCAACGGAUAUCUCGGCUCUNGCWUCRAURAARAACGCAGAAUUGCAGAAUCCCGUGAACCAUCGAGUCUUUGAACGCAAGUUGCGCCCGAAGCCAUCCGGCCGAGGGCACGUCUGCCUGGGCGUCACGCAUCGCGUCGCCCCCUCCCUCCGUGGUGGGGGCGGACAAUGGCCUCCCGUGCGCUCCAGUGCGCGGCCGGCCCAAAUGGGAUCCCCCGGCGACGCGCGUCGCGACCAGUGGUGGUUGAACGCUCAGCUCGCGCGCUGUCCGUCGCGCUACGCGUCGUCGUCCGGCGGGGCAUCGCCAACGACCCUCACCGCGCCAUCGCGCGCCUUCGACCGCGACCCCAGGUCAGGCGGGAUCACCCG
rnacentral:rRNA from 1 species